CGCCUGGGUUCAUGUUUUACAUACCCAGUGUAAAAUGCAAGGUAAAUGUGAUGUAAAUGUGAGGUAAAUGUGAGGUAAAUGUGAGGUAAAUGUGAGGUUAAUGUGAGGUAACUGAGGUAAAUGUGAGGUAAAUGUGAUGUAAAUGUGAUGUAAAUGUGAGGUUAAUGUGAGGUAACUGUGAGGUAAAUGUGAGGUAAAUGUGAGGUUAAUGUGAGGUAACUGAGGUAAAUGUGAGGUAAAUGUGAUGUAAAUGUGAGGUAAAUGUGAUGUAAAUGUGAGGUUAAUGUGAGGUAAAUGUGAUGUAAGUGUGAGGUUUAUGUGAGGUAAAUGUGAGGUAAAUGUGAGGUAAAUGUGAGGUAAAUCUUUGAUUAGAUUAGAGCAAGCCUGGAUCCAUGAUGCUCUUCACUUCAGUGAUUCUUAUUCACUCUGCAUGAUGAAAUGCCUCCUUAAAAAAUAAAUAACUAUUUAAAAAAUAUUUUAUUUAUUCCUUACAAUCUGCUGUAAAACCACGGGCAUUUUAUUGUUCCCGGAUAUGUUAGCAAGGACUCAUUACUCUCAGAUAAUCACACCAAUAAUUACCCAUAAAAUAAUACGAGAGAAUGUAAUCCAGCUUUCCUGGACGUAGGACCUGUCUUUAUAUUUUGGAUAUUUAUCAUAUUUAUAAAACAACUUGCUAGGUUUUUAAAAAAAUUUAAAUCAUCCUCUAUUUGUGAAUUUUACUCGUUUUUUUUUUUGUUUUUUUUUUUAAUAAUUAAGAUCACUUUGGUAUCAAAAUAGUCUGGAGGUUUGUUCAAAGGUUUUUAAUUAGGACUUUAUUUAUGCAGAUUUGCUGAGAAUUUGCAUAAAAAGCUAUUCUGCAGAUGGGUUUAUGAGAGUAAUGAAUGUGCCAGCCUGUAAUAUAACAUCUGCUUCAUCACAAUGUCGCUCGUCUUCAGGAACGGGGGG
ensembl:lncRNA